UACAGAGGGGGCAAGCGUUGUUCGGAAUUACUGGGCGUAAAGCGCACGUAGGUGGCUUUGUAAGUUAGAGGUGAAAGCCCGGGGCUCAACUCCGGAAUUGCCUUUAAGACUGCAUCGCUAGAACGUCGGAGAGGUAAGUGGAAUUCCGGGUGUAGCGGUGGAAUGCGUAGAGAUCCGGAAGAACACCGGUGGCGAAGGCGGCCUGCUGGGCUAUGGCUGACACUGAGGCGCGACAGCGUGGGGGAGCAAACAGGG
rnacentral:rRNA from 1 species